GUCUGUGACCUACACCACAGCUCAUGGCAACGCCAGAUCCUUAACCCACUGAGCGAGACCAGGGAUUGAACCCUCAACCUCAUGGUUCCUAGUCGGAUUUGUUAACCACUGCGCCACGACGGGAACUCUGGAACUCCCUCAAUAUAUCUUUUAAGAAUUCUCCAAAGUAUCACUGGCUGCCCCAGCACCUAGCAGUUGGAACAGGGAAUCAACAUUUGGGAGCUGAUGGGCUCCAUAUACUAGGGUAAGUCACUCUGGUGUGUACAACCAGAAACUUUAUUUCCUUUCUACUUGGGCCUUUUAUUCCAGAAUAAGCCAAUAUGUUUUAUAUUUGAGUGGGGUACCCUACUGGAAACAGGAAAGAAUUGUUGGACGUUUACCCCAUUCGUGAACUUGUUCUUUCGUUUCUUUUCUUUUUUUUCUUUUGUUUCUUUAGAUGCUAGCAUUUGUGUGUACAGUUUGCAUUUUGCUUGUCUUGAAUUUGUCUUUAAAAAUAGGGAAUGCUUCAGGAGUUCUCUCUUGGCUCAGUGGAUUAAGGAUCCACCUUUGUCACUGCUAUGGCUCUGGUCACUGCUGUGGUGCAGGUUCAAUACCAGGCUCAGAACUUGUGCAUGCUGCAAGUGUGGCCAAAAAAUGGGGAAUGUUUCAAAUAUCCCUAAAUUCCUCUGAGGUGCAUUUUGGAUAAGUGAUCUGGUUACAGCUGUGAACGCAUUGGUGAGAGGAAGAUGAUUUUAUUGUAAUAAUGUGUUGCCGCAGUAUCAGUUAGGAACACUACAGGGGCCUUAGGCAGGGUUAUUUUGAACCCUGUGCACCAUGUACUGCUGUUCGUACAUGGUUUGCUAUUUAAUUGCAUCGUUUGUUGUCUCCUGUGACAUUGGUAUAUAUGUAAAACUCCAAGACCAAACUAGAGGGCAUAUUUAGGAUUUUCUGUUUGUCCUUUGGGUGUCUUGUUUCAUUUUUUUGUUUGCUUGUUAAUAUUUCUUCAUUUACAACCAAAUCAGCAUUGUGAUAUUUAAAACUCUUACUGAUGUCAAAUGGAGGAAAGGGACAGAAAAAAGAAAAACAAAACUCUGUCUCUUCUAGUCCAAGACUGGGACAUUCCCAGGAAGAAGAGAAAGUUUCCACUUGGUUCCCAUAAUCACCAAAAGCAACAAAUAGAAAUGUCUUUUCCAUUAGAUGGCUAAACCCUUUAUACUAAUAUUAAACAGGUGACUGUGAUGUGUUCUAUUGGGCAGAAACCAAAUUUGAAUCCAAUAUCGUUUGUAACUGAUGGGUUUUACACUAUUGUACUGGAUUCAUGGCUGAAGUUUUGGAAUGGGAACUGUGAGGAUCCUAUGUUUGUAUGUUUACAUAUAUGAUAGAUGUACGGCAUUUCCAAAUUUGCAAAAAAGAUCUCUAUUUAAUUGGCUUAAAGGAAAUUAAGCACUUAUAUAAAUACUCGAAUAUAUGUUAAUAAUCAAAUUUAAAAGAAACUAGCCAAAAUGAAUUUUGAGUUCACAUGAUCUAGGAAGUAUUCAGUAUUAGUUAAUGUAUGAAUUAAUUAAAGUAUGAAUAUCUGGUCUUAAAGUUAGCUUAAGCUUGUUGGUUUCAUUAAUUACAGGCGUCUUUUUAGAGUCAUUAAGUAUAAUACUUUCAUUAUACCUGGGUUUACUAGAAAUCGUAUAUCAUUAUUCCUCUUACAAAGUUUGUAAGCAAGAAAAAAAUAUGACAAAGCUUUUUAAGUAAGUAAAAUAGAGGUAAAUGAGGUAGGAGUUUUAAGUAAACUCUAUAGGAAUAAUUAUGUUUUGGGAAUGUAUGAAAUAGUUUUUCCAGAUUUUUAUAACUUUAAGUUAAAUGAAGAUAAUUCAUUGACUACCUGGGUCAUUUCAAAUAGGAUAAAAUACUAGGACACUAAUUGCUGGGCAGGUCUGAUAUCUUUGCCUUCUCAGGAGAGGAACACUGACACAUAAGUUUGUCAAUCAGGAAAUGCUGGUAUGGCAGGUUAUAAUUACUUGCCUCUUGGUUUUCACUAGAGAUUAAGGCUUUAAGGUUACGACCUAGGAGAAACAUUUCAGUAUGCAAUGAUGUAGGAUAUGUGUUUUUAGCAAAGAAGGUAUGAGAAAUGCAAAUGCAUUUUGUUAAAGGGAAAAAGGUAGUUCUGUCCUACAGCUGGUUGUUUCUGAAUGGAAAAGAACGGGAGGAACAGAUUAUAGAUACAGAAAGUUGUAGAAAGUUUGUGGAGGAGGAACACUGAAAGAGUUUUGUGCAUGGUCAGGACUGGCUAAGAUUGAGAUUAAUUCAGAAAAAGAAUUUUAAAGGUAAAGGGGUACAAAACAUGAUUUUGUUUCUCUAAGAGGACAAAGUUGUCUUUAAAUAUUGAAGUGCUUUUAGUAAUGGAUUGUUUCCUCAAAUCAUCUGUAUUUGCCAGUGGUCUCUUAUUAUCACUUGUUAAAACUUUUUGAUAUUUUUGACAAAAAACUUCUCAAAGAUCAAAUUCUAAAUGAAGUUUAUUUUAUUUUUUAAAUGAAGUUUAGAAUUUGACCUUUAGCUAACUCUGAGGUUUUCCAGAGGGUCCCUGGAAUACCUCAAAUUAUUUGUUUUCUCUCCAUCGCAGAGGGGAAUAUUCGUUAUGUUAAAUUUUGUGGGAAGCAUUGUCAAAUAAGUGGGUAAAACGUCUUAGAUUUUAUCUUACGGAUAAACAUUAUUGAUAUACGUUCUAGAAAUUAUAUUCCUAAAAUUCUGGUAUAUUCUGGGAAAUGAUAUCAGUCAUAAUUUUAGUAAUUAUCUUAAAUUGUUAUAUGUAAUUGAAAAGAAACUUGGUGACUGCUGUGACAUUAUAAUUCUGGUUGGUUGAUGUCAAAGCAAAAAUGCAUCUUUUUAUUUUUAUUUUAUUUUUUUAUUUUUUAUUUUAUUUUAGUCUUGUCUUUUUAGGGCCGCACCCGCAGCAGAUGGAGGUUCCCAGGUUAGGGGUCUAAUCAGAGCUAUAGCUGCUGGCCUACGCCACAGCAACAGCAACGCCAGAUCCAAGCCUUGUCUGUGACCCAUAUCACAGCUCAUGGCAAUGCCAGAUCCUUAACCCACUGAGCAAGUCCAGGGAUUGAACCUGCAACGUCAGGGUUCCUAAUUGGAUUCGUUUCCACUGUGCCACAAUGGGAACUCCAAAAAUGCAUCUUUUUAAUGGUUAGAGAUUAUCAAUUGUUAUUUAUGAUUUUACUGUGGCUUUCGAAUGACUCUGGUUUUACCGUGGCUUUUGAAUCACUGUAUAGAUGUUUUGUGAAGAAACAAGGAAGAAUGAUAAAAUCCUUUAUGUGCAAGCAUUUGUGCUAUUACAUCAAGCUAAAAUAAAGGAAGGGAAU
rnacentral:lncRNA from 1 species